rnacentral:lncRNA from 1 species
UGAGAACUUGGGUGAGGCUUGAAAGAGAAUUCUCAGGAAAACACCUUGCCCUCCCUGAAGGUUACGCUCCUGGCGGAAGUAGUUAACCAGAGUAAGACAAAAGCAGGUGCUCGCUAGAAGAAAAACCUGGACCACCUGCUUGGAACACCUUCCUGUCUUCUGCUCUACACGCUGUCCCUCCCAUUUUUCAGCAAGCUCUUGGGAUUGCACUACACCAGAGGGUUGAAAACGCCUGCAGUGGCAUUCCAGAAAGGGAAGGGUCCUAGGGGACAGCCAGGAGACCUUAACUUCAUACCU